AGUGAACGCUGGCGGUAGGCCUAACACAUGCAAGUCGAACGGCAGCACAGUAAGAGCUUGCUCUUACGGGUGGCGAGUGGCGGACGGGUGAGGAAUACAUCGGAAUCUACUUUUUCGUGGGGGAUAACGUAGGGAAACUUACGCUAAUACCGCAUACGACCUACGGGUGAAAGCGGGGGAUCUUCGGACCUUGCGCGAUUGAAUGAGCCGAUGUCGGAUUAGCUAGUUGGCGGGGUAAAGGCCCACCAAGGCGACGAUCCGUAGCUGGUCUGAGAGGAUGAUCAGCCACACUGGAACUGAGACACGGUCCAGACUCCUACGGGAGGCAGCAGUGGGGAAUAUUGGACAAUGGGCGCAAGCCUGAUCCAGCCAUACCGCGUGGGCGAAGAAGGCCUUCGGGUUGUAAAGCCCUUUUGUUGGGAAAGAAAAGCAGCAGGUUAAUACCCCGCUGUUCUGACGGUACCCAAAGAAUAAGCACCGGCUAACUUCGUG
rnacentral:rRNA from 1 species